rnacentral:rRNA from 1 species
GACGAACGCUGGCGGCGUGCUUAACACAUGCAAGUCGAACGGAAAGGCCCUGCUUUUGUGGGGUGCUCGAGUGGCGAACGGGUGAGUAACACGUGAGUAACCUGCCCUUGACUUUGGGAUAACUUCAGGAAACUGGGGCUAAUACCGGAUAGGGGCUCCUGCUGCAUGGGGGGGGUUGGAAAUUUUCGGCGGUUGGGGAUGGACUCGCGGCUUAUCAGCUUGUUGGUGGGGUAGUGGCUUACCAAGGCUUUGACGGGUAGCCGGCCUGAGAGGGUGACCGGCCACAUUGGGACUGAGAUACGGCCCAGACUCCUACGGGAGGCAGCAGUGGGGAAUAUUGCACAAUGGGCGGAAGCCUGAUGCAGCAACGCCGCGUGCGGGAUGACGGCCUUCGGGUUGUAAACCGCUUUCGCCUGUGACGAAGCGUGAGUGACGGUAAUGGGUAAAGAAGCACCGGCUAACUACGUG